GAUUUCUGGUCUGGUGCGCCUGGCCCGCGGCUCUUAGCUUGUGAGUGCCGGGUCGCGCCUGCCAUCCUUCUAGAUGGCCUGUCUACCCUUCACUGGGCCGGACAUGUGUUUGUCUAGAUCUUUUACUUUGAGAAAAUUAGAGUGUUUCAAGCAGGCUUUUAGGCUAUGAAUACAUUAGCAUGGAAUAAUAAUUUAGGACUUCGGUUCUAUUUUGUUGGUUCUUAGGACUGAAGUAAUGAUUGAUAGGGAUAGUUGGGGGUGCUAGUAUUCCGUGGCCAGAGGUGAAAUUCUCGGAUUCACGGAAGACUAACUUAUGCGAAAGCAUU
rnacentral:rRNA from 1 species